GAUGAACGCUGGCGGCGUGCUUAACACAUGCAAGUCGAACGGAGCUUGUCUGAUAGAGGAUUCGUCCAAUUGAUUUCAAGCUUAGUGGCGGACGGGUGAGUAACGCGUGAGGAACCUGCCUUGGAGUGGGGAAUAACGCAGUGAAAAUUGUGCUAAUACCGCAUAAUGCAGUUGAGUCGCAUGGCUCUGACUGCCAAAGAUUUAUCGCUCUAAGAUGGCCUCGCGUCUGAUUAGGUAGUUGGUGAGGUAACGGCUCACCAAGCCGACGAUCAGUAGCCUGACUGAGAGGUUGGCCGGCCACAUUGGGACUGAGACACGGCCCAGACUCCUACGGGAGGCAGCAGUGGGGAAUAUUGGGCAAUGGGCGCAAGCCUGACCCAGCAACGCCGCGUGAAGGAAGAAGGCUUUCGGGUUGUAAACUUCUUUUGUCAGGGACGAAUAAAUGACGGUACCUGACGAAUAAGCCACGGCUAACUACGUGCCAGCAGCCGCGGUAAUAC
rnacentral:rRNA from 1 species